rnacentral:rRNA from 1 species
GACGAACGCUGGCGGCGUGCUUAACACAUGCAAGUCGAACGGAAAGGCCCUGCUUUUGUGGGGUGCUGGAGUGGCGAACGGGUGAGUAACAGGUGAGUAACGUGCUCUUGACUUUGGUAUAACUUCAGGAAACUGGGGUUAAUACCGGAUAGGAGCUCCUGCUGCGUGGUGGGGGUUGGAAAUUUUCGGCGGUCGGGGUUGGACUAGCGGCUUAUCAGCUUGUUGGUGGGGUAGUGGCUUACCGAGGCUUUGACGGGUAGCCGGCCUGAGAGGGUGACCGGCCACAAUGGGACUGAGAUACGGCCCAGACUCCUACGGGAGGCAGCAGUGGGGAAUAUUGCACAAUGGGCGGAAGCCUGAUGCAGCAACGCCGCGUGCGGGAUGACGGCCUUCGGGUUGUAAACCGCUUUCGCCUGUGACGAAGCGUGAGUGACGGUAAUGGGUAAAGAAGCACCGGCUAACUACGUG